UCUCCUUUCCUUCUUUGGAGCUUUCGUUCCGGCCGCGCCUCCGCCCGAGCCUCCCCGGCCCUCGCGUCUCGGCGACCGUUUCCAUCCCCUCCCUUGUGCAUCAAAUCUCGAUUCGUUUCGAAUCGCGAUUGAUUGAUUUUGUUCGCCGUCGCCUCUGCAGCUCUGCUUUCUGUGCUCGCAGGGGGUUCGAUCGGCCCGUCUCGUCCGCCUCCGCGCGCGCGACUUCGGGGGAGCGAUCAAUCGGGGAUUCAAUCGAGUUGUCCUGCGUCUGAUUUUGGCCGAAGCGAGGUCAGUUUCUCGUGCUCGAUCGGCCAGAUCGGUUCCUUGGUUCCGUCACCUGCCUGCGUUCGUCUCGUCGGUGGUUUCAGAUUUGAAUUGAAUUGAAUUGAGCGGCGGUCGCCCGUGCGGCCUUCCGGUUCUACGUUCCCCCGAUCGAGCGCCCGUCGGUGAUUUCAGAUUUGAAUUGAUUGAAUUGAACGGUGCUGUCAUCAGUUAAUACGAGGUGGAUUCGAGGCCCUCGUGGAUUCUUGUUGUGCCGGCUGAUCUUGCUUUUGGUAUAUGUGCUCUCUGUCCUAGAUGCAGAACCAAGAGGGCGAGCGCUCGUUCUGGACAGUUACAUAGAUGAAGGGGCGGAGGUUUGAUUUCUGUUCAUGGUUGUUUUGAUUUUUUGGUUACGGUUCAGCGGUUAUUCUGAUAUGGUCAGAUCUUCUCGGGUGAUGAUGAUGCUUUGGACCUCUUACCAACCUGGAACCGAAAUUGGAUUACAAGGCAUAGGGGGAGCGACCCAUCUUGCUGAUCUGCGUUUGGAGGAUGAUUACCCCUUCUUUUCAAUUCUUCAUCUACACGGUUCAGUUUUAGUCGGUCCUGAUUUAGAUUUGUUGUUUGAUGCUUGUCCAGAAAUUGGGGAUUAUACGGCUUAGCGGGAGCGACUUGUCAUUCUUCAUGACCUGUGUUUGGAUAAUCAUUACUCUCUGUUUAUUUCCUUUUCUCCACAGUUCAGUUAGUGUUGGCACAAUUCUGAUUUGGAUUUUCGAUUUGUUGCUGGUACUCCAGAUAUUGGAAUUAUACGGCUUAGUGGGUGGUCCAAUUUUCCCUCGGCACGGCGGUUCUUCUGUGGCUCAACAUUUUCUUAGUCAUCAAUAAUAUAAUUAGAAAAGUUUCUCUGCCUUAGUUUGUCAUUCUCAGCUCUUGCAGACACCAUCUUGGAAGGGAUAUAAUUGGAAUUGGUGCUGUCUACUUGACCUUCCCAGCUCAGACUUCCUUAUAACUUUUAGCUCCUCCUCGUUUGAAGCAUGCUUUAGUUGAGCCCAGUUUUCCCUAAUAACGUAUCUUGCUCGUUGCAGGUUUGACGAAUGCAAAGUCCAACCUGAUGCUGAGUUGAAUCUGAUUACAGUUCUUUCUAAAUCUAAUCAAUUCAUCAUUACUUAGAUAACCUUUAAGAUCUUCUCACUCACUAGGCAAUAUUUUAAAUUCAGAUUUAUCUGCGAAGGUGCAAGAGUGGAGCUUCAAACUUGGCAAAUCCUACAAACAAAAAAGAGACUCCUCCAUUUUUAACUCUUGCCUCUUAUCUUUGUAUCACGUAGCUACUUGUUCAUGCCUUUGAUUUAAGCUUUUUUGCUUCUGCCCCCCUGUGAUUGCAGAUUUAUUUUAGCCCAGAGCGUGUUGGUACUUGGUAGUGAGUCGAAAUCUGUUAAAAUCGGUUGGUUUGCAAUCUAUCUCUAUGCGGUUCAAUUUGUUAUCUGUACUCUUAUCCUGUCGACUGCAUGACAUAUUUAGGAAGUUUGGGCUUAUGGGCAAAUCUCUGUACAGUGAGUCAGGUCAGUGUUCUAUUAACGGUUUGUUUGGUUUAGUUGUGUUCCUCGAUCUGGAAUGUGGAGAGCCCUGUGGUGUUGUAUGUUGAAGGGGCUCUGAGCAGGUCAGGUUUGAAUGGCUAUCGCCCGUGUGAUCUUCUGGUUCUCAUCACGUGUUUCUUCAUCAUCAGCUAAUAUGAGGUGGAUUAGAGAAGUCCUGGUGGAUUCUUAUUGUAGCAGCUGAUCGCGCUUUUGGUGUGUGUUUGUGCUCCUUUGCUUGCAGCAGAUGCAGGAGUGUAGUAGUUCUGCACAGAUGAAUCAUAGGGUGGAGAGUUGGUAUCUGUUCGUCAUUUUGAUUGAUUGGAUAUGAAGCUUUGUAUCUCUUACCAACCUGGAACCUGUGAUCUGCGUUUCGAUAAUAUAUAUUCCGUCCCAAUUCAAUUUAUUUGGUUUGCACAAUAAAAUUUAGCCCUUGGUA